rnacentral:lncRNA from 1 species
UGUAGGGUAAAUGAAUGUUAGGCAUAGAGAGUGUAUGAAGGUAAUGUAGGUAUAGAUGAAUGUUAAGAUGUGAAGGUAUAAAUGAAUGUUAGGAUGUGUGGAGGCAUAGAUGAAUGUUAGGAUGUGAAGGUAUAGAUGAAUGUUAGGAUGUGUGAAAGUAUGGAUGAAUGUUAGGAUGUGAAGGCAUAGAUGAAUGUUAGGAUGUGAAGGCAUAGAUGAAUGUUAGGAUGUGUGAAAGUAUGGAUGAAUGUUAGGAUGUGAAAGUAUAGAUGAAUUUUAGGAUGUGUGAAGGCAUAGAUGAAUGUUAUGAUGUGUGAAAGUAUGGAUGAAUGUUAGGAUGUGAAGGUAUAUAUUAAUGUUAGGAUGUUAAAGCAUAGAGUAAUGAUAGUAUGUGGAGGCAUAGAUGAAUGGCUUAGUAUAUAUGAAUGUAAGGAUGUUAAGGUAUAGAUGAAUGUUAAAAUGUGAAGCUGUGAAUGAAUGUUAGGAUGUUUGUACGCAUAGAUGAAUGUUAGGAUGUGAAGGUAUAGAUGAAUGUUAGGAUGUUAAGGUAUAGAUGAAUGUUAGGAUGUGAAGGUAUAGAUGAAUGUUAGGAUGUGUGAUGGCAUAGAUUAAUGGCUUAGUAUAGAUGAAUGAAUGUAAGGAUGUUAAGGGAUAUAUGAAUGUUAAAAUGUUAAGGUAUAGAUGAAUGUUAGGAUGUUAAGGCAUAGAUGAAUGUUAGGAUGUUAAGGCAUAGAUGAAUGUUAGGAUGUGAAGGUAUAGAUGAAUGUUAGGAUGUGUGAUGGCAUAGAUUAAUGGCUUAGCAUAGAUGAAUGAAUGUAAGGAUGUUAAGGGAUAUAUGAAUGUUAAAAUGUUAAGGUAUAGAUGAAUGUCUUAGGGUGUGUAAGCAUAGAUGAAUGUCUUAUAUUAGGAUGUGAAGUAUGAAUGAAUGUUAGGAAGUGUAGAUAAUGUAGGGGUGUGAAUAUAUAGAUGAAUGUAAGGAUGUGAAGUCAUAUUAUUUAUGUCUUAAGGAGUGAAAUAGCUAAUGGAUGAUGUGAAUAGAAGUGAAAUGACAGUGCGCAAAAAGGCUAAUCAACAUGCCAAAAAUAAAAUAAAAAACAUUAAUGCAAA